CGGCCUUCCUGCAGCCUCUUCCGCUCGCCGGCUGCGGCGUCUGGGACGGUUGCGGUGGGUCUGGGCGCUGGGAAGUCGUCCAAGAUGAUUAAAAAAUUCGACAAGAAGGACGAGGAGUCUGGUAGUGGCUCCAAUCCUUUCCAGCAUCUGGAGAAGAGUGCUGUUUUACAGGAGGCUCGUAUAUUCAAUGAAACUCCAAUCAAUCCAAGAAGAUGUUUGCAUAUUCUUACAAAGAUUCUUUACUUACUGAACCAGGGUGAACACUUUGGAACAACGGAAGCUACAGAAGCCUUCUUUGCAAUGACGCGAUUGUUUCAAUCUAAUGAUCAAACAUUGAGGAGAAUGUGCUACCUUACCAUCAAGGAAAUGGCUACCAUCUCUGAGGAUGUGAUAAUUGUCACAAGCAGUCUGACUAAAGACAUGACUGGAAAAGAAGAUGUAUACCGAGGCCCGGCCAUCAGAGCUCUCUGCAGAAUCACCGAUGGAACAAUGUUGCAAGCCAUUGAGAGAUACAUGAAGCAGGCCAUUGUGGAUAAAGUUUCCAGUGUAUCCAGUUCAGCACUGGUGUCUUCCCUGCACAUGAUGAAGAUAAGCUAUGAUGUGGUUAAGCGCUGGAUCAAUGAAGCCCAAGAAGCUGCAUCAAGUGAUAAUAUUAUGGUCCAGUACCAUGCAUUGGGAGUCCUGUAUCACCUUAGAAAGAAUGAUCGACUUGCUGUUUCCAAGAUGUUGAAUAAGUUUACUAAAUCUGGUCUCAAGUCACAGUUUGCUUACUGCAUGCUGAUCCGAAUUGCCAGUCGCUUACUAAAAGAAACUGAGGAUGGCCAUGAAAGUCCACUGUUUGAUUUCAUUGAGAGCUGCUUGCGAAAUAAACAUGAAAUGGUUAUUUAUGAAGCUGCUUCAGCUAUUAUCCAUCUUCCUAACUGCACUGCAAGAGAGUUGGCACCUGCUGUUUCAGUUCUUCAACUUUUCUGUAGUUCUCCUAAGCCAGCCUUGAGAUAUGCAGCUGUGAGGACCUUGAACAAGGUGGCAAUGAAGCACCCCUCUGCUGUUACUGCCUGCAAUCUGGACUUAGAAAACUUAAUCACAGACUCAAACAGAAGCAUUGCUACCUUAGCCAUUACUACACUCCUCAAAACAGGAAGUGAGAGCAGUGUGGACAGGCUCAUGAAGCAGAUAUCUUCUUUUGUGUCUGAAAUCUCAGAUGAGUUCAAGGUGGUGGUUGUACAGGCAAUUAGUGCUCUCUGUCAGAAAUACCCUCGAAAGCACAGUGUCAUGAUGACUUUCCUCUCCAACAUGCUCCGAGAUGAUGGAGGCUUUGAGUACAAGCGGGCCAUUGUGGACUGCAUAAUCAGCAUUGUGGAAGAGAACCCUGAGAGUAAAGAAGCAGGCCUAGCUCACCUUUGUGAAUUCAUUGAGGACUGUGAACACACUGUUCUGGCUACUAAGAUUCUACACUUGUUGGGCAAAGAGGGCCCUAGAACGCCUGUCCCCUCCAAAUAUAUCCGCUUUAUUUUUAAUAGGGUUGUCCUGGAGAAUGAGGCUGUCAGAGCUGCUGCUGUGAGUGCUUUGGCUAAAUUUGGGGCUCAGAAUGAGAGUCUUCUCCCAAGCAUCCUUGUACUCUUACAGAGGUGUAUGAUGGAUACUGAUGAUGAGGUACGAGACAGAGCUACCUUCUAUCUGAAUGUGCUGCAGCAGAGGCAGAUGGCACUAAAUGCCACAUAUAUCUUUAAUGGUUUGACGGUCUCUGUACCAGGGAUGGAAAAAGCCUUACACCAGUACACGUUGGAGCCUUCAGAAAAACCGUUUGACAUGAAAUCAAUUCCUCUUGCUAUGGCUCCUGUCUUCGAACAGAAAGCAGAAAUCACACUUGUGGCUACUAAGCCAGAGAAGUUGGCUCCUUCCAGGCAAGACAUUUUCCAAGAACAAUUGGCUGCCAUUCCUGAGUUUCUGAAUAUAGGACCCUUGUUCAAGUCUUCUGAGCCUGUUCAACUUACAGAAGCAGAGACAGAAUAUUUUGUUCGAUGUAUCAAGCACAUGUUUACCAAUCACAUCGUGUUCCAGUUUGACUGCACCAACACUCUCAAUGACCAGCUGCUGGAAAAAGUGACAGUGCAGAUGGAGCCAUCAGAUUCCUAUGAAGUGCUGUCUUGUAUCCCAGCCCCCAGCCUUCCUUACAACCAACCAGGAAUAUGUUACACUCUGGUUCAUUUGCCUGAUGAUGACCCUACAGCAGGUACUAACCCUCAGAAGGGAGGAGAUACGUGAUUCCGAAUGCAUUUCCUUGUGAGCUCUUCAACUCUUCAAAUGCACAGUUUAAGAAUGUGGUGCUUUUCUAGAAUUUAAUGUAAUGAUAAUGAGUGUGUAUGUGUAUGUGUUUGUGUGUGUGUGAAUAUAUAUAUUUAUAAAAUUGGUUACUGCUGCAGAAAUACUAAUUUUAAAACUAAAUCUCUGAGUAAAAUUUGCUGAACACUUAAAAGAGAAACUGAGUGUGUAUAGCAGUAGCACAAAAAGGAACUCACGCUUUCUGUUAGAAUAAUGUGACCACUUGUAAGAGUUCAUAUACCUGAUGUCUCCUGUGAAGAAUCUUGACCCACUUUUCCUCGAAGUUUCUAUCUAGUUAGAUAGAACUUGGUUAUGUAGUAGAUUGUUGGCAUUUUAAAAUACAUCAUUUUCGAAGGUCCUGUAGCAUAAGGCUGGUGUCUGAAAGCAUGUCUCAGCCUAGUGAGUGGCUUAGCCAACCAUGUGUGUCCACAUUAAGAAGGGCUUUUAAUUCCCUGCUUGACCCAUAUGCAGUCUUUGCAGGGCAGAAAAAUAGCCCCUAAAAGACAGCCAACUAGUGCCAAUAGUAGUAUUUACUUAUUUGGAGACUUGGGAAGGUGAAUGUCAAGUAUUUAUUCUACUUGAUUCCCCCCACCGUCAUUUUCCUCCUUGAUUUCUUCUCAUGUUCAGUGCACAAUAUUCGUAACUGUUACCCAGUUUUCACAGAAAUAAGCACACACAUCACAUUUAUGUUUUGAACAACUUUUACUGCUCGUAAGUACAGGAGAAACAAGUUAAAAAAUUAACAAAUACUGGGAUAGUUACAGAGUUACAAGAAAUCAUAAAAGCACUAGUAAAUAGUUAUCCCUGGUCAUCAUUCAGUUACAUUUGGGGCUUAACCUGCUUUCUUUUAGCCCCUCUCCAAACUCCCUUCUUAGAUAUUGGUUCCUGGGAGCCCCUGUCCAGUCUUAUCUGUGUUGGGUGAUAGACCAGGCUACUCAGACUCUAGCACGAGGUAGAUUCACGUUGGCACCACUGCUGUGUCUGAAUCCCAGAUUGUUCCCUCUGGCCCUGGGUGGAACUCUACUUCUGUUCUUUAGCCACCCUGGAUCCAUAACCCCCUGAGUAGGAAGGCACUUUCCUAUCUGGCCUCCAGUAUUUUUCCUUUGAGCUUGAGGCUAUCUGGCUUUAACCUUUAAUUACCUCCUUUAUCCCUUUGUGAGGUUUCUCUAGUUCCAUUUCCUUAUAACUUCGCUUUCUCUCCUGGUCUGUUUUUCUCUCCAGUUAGAUUUGUCUGAAAUAUGUCCACUAGCCAGUCAUUAAGCUGGCUGUAUUCUUAAGUAAAGCUAGUUUUAUUUACCCUUUUCUAAACUAGUAUUUGGGCCCAAUCUUAAUGUAGUUCUGUGGUUUCUACCAUUGUCUGGGGAGACUCUGCACUUCAUCAGUUCUUUUCCAGUAGCCAUCCCUCCAUGUUUCAGAAUUCCUCCUGCUAUUCUACCUCUCACCAGCGUCCUGUUUUUUAAGGGAUGCUAUUACUUUGCCACUUAAUUUCAGAGGGAAGUGAAAUGCUGAACCCAUUGAAGAAUCAAUCCCUUACCAAUUGAGAAUACUAGCUCUUCCCACUUCCCCGGGUUCAUUUUGCUAACUAAUAACUCAGGUGGCUCACACCCCAGGAAGUAUUCUUAACAGAAUCUAAGAAGUACAAUUUUAUAAUACCAAAAUACACAAAACAACAAUAUAGAAAUUACAUAUAGUAUAGGAAAAAACCAACAACAACAAGAGAAAACAUUUCCACCAAGAGAGGAAAAAGAGGAGAGGUUUUCUUGCCCCUCUUCACUAAGGAGUUUUAAAACACAGAUCUUACAAAUUAGCCCAGAGAUUUCAACAUUUGGUCUGCUGGCUAUGGACUCAUUUGCUUGAUGGUUUGUUUGAUUUUUGUUUAUAAAAGUUUGGCAUUUAGGGAAUUGUUUAAAGUUUUAUUAGUAGUAAGUUUAUAUUUGACCCAUCAUAUACCUACUUAAAAAACAAACUCCUUUCUAUUUAGUUUUUUGUCAGAAUUCUCAAAUUUUUAAUCCAUGGCCAAUCUAAAGUCUAUGUUGUGCAAUGGAAGAAGUGAAAUACCAGGGCAUAGAUGGUAAUAGGUAUCUUUUACCCAUUCCUUCCUUUUUGCAUUUUCCCAUCACAGAUAUUCCAAAUUUUACCUAUCACCUCAAGGUCUUAAACAUCAGUAUGUCUCAUUUCAGAAAAAUAAUAUUUUUCCUUAUAAUCACAGUGAAAAAACAGAAAUUCUUGGUUUGAUUUCCUUCAACUUGAAAACAGUAUAGCAUAAUAGAAAGGAAUAUGAGUUUGAUAGACAGAUGAGGAUUUGAAUUCUGGCCCUGCUACAUACUGACUGUGUGAUCUUGGACAAAUUAUUUGAUCUCUUAGGACUGUUAUAGGAUGAAAUGAAAUGAAAUAAUAGGUAAGUUGCUUCACAUGGUGCCAGACACAUAGAACCUUUUGGUGUUUAAUUCUAGAAUUAUCCGCUUUCUUCCUUUAUCCUCUCUAAAAUCAAGUCUUCCAGAGUUCAAAAGACACAUAUCCUCUGAUCUCUUCCAGAAAGUUGUUCCAUCAAUUAUUCCUUUCUUUGAUCUAUCUUUAAUCUUUCCUACUCCCCUUUACUUUAUAAAUGUAUAAAAAUCUACCCUAUCUGAAAAAAUUUGCUUUAACCCAACAUCAAUAUAUUACCAUAACACCUUCUCACAAAGGUUGGGCAAUUUCUUGAAAGACUAUGGACAUCCUAAGUCUCUAUAUAGUUAGACCUACUUAUUAUCUUUUGUCCUCCCAGAAUUUGUCCUUUACCUAAAAAGUUUUAGAAAAGCCUUUAAGGCAACAUUCCUUCUAAGCAUUCAUUCUCUUUCAGCAGCUCUGUUUCCCCUGAAUAUUUAUUGCACCCGUAACAAUAUAUAUUAUAUACACAACAUUCUACCAAUUAUUCCCCAUGUUGGACCUUUUUAAUGCCAUUACCAACUUAACUUUUUAUUCCACUACCUAUUCAGAACCAUUCUAAUCUUUAUAUUGCUUUUAUCAGGUUUUAGUGCAUCAUAUUUCUUGUUAUCUGGAACCAUUUCGACAAAUAUUAAUAACUUAUUUUAAAACAGUCUUUAAUAGAAAAUAUUCAUACUAAGAUCAGCUGUAACAGUACAUGUAUGUGAGUUAUUUUCUCUGAUUUUCAUUGGAAAUAUUGCCUGCCAUAUAAUGAUUCAUAAUUAUUUUAAUUUCUUGACUUUCUGCCUACACUUCCUUAAAGUGCCAUCUUAAGCUACUGUAGUCGCCCUUCCAUUAUUUUUUGUUCAGUAUUAACCAUAUGAACUUGGCAUUCUGUACUAAAAACACAACUUCAGUUAAGUAAGAUUUGCCUCAGAGUUUUUUACUUUAACUCACUUCCACUCACCCACUGGGAUCCAUAUAUUAAUGAGGCUCAGUGAAACUUUGCAUUCUUCUAAGCCAAAUAUUUAAUCUGAAUUUUAACUCAAAUACUAAAAAAAGCAGGAUUGGUAGAACAUACGAUUCAGCCACCCUUUCCCCUUCCUUUUUCACUAGAAUUUGCUUCAGCCUGGCUUUAAAAUCAAUAUUCCUACAGUCUAACCCAUUGAAAGAUCUGCCAGGAUUCUCAGUCUGAGAUCUCCUUAUUUACCCACUCAUUUGUCACACAUCCAGUCUGCCAUUCCUCAAACUCACUGAAAUUUCCCUCAUUUCCUUUCAAGCCAUCUUCCUAAUCUAUUUGAUACCCCUUUUCUACCCCAUCAUCUUCAAUGUCUCUAAUUUUUGUUGCUGACUUUUCUUAAAUGAUCCUAUCUCUGCAGAAUGCAAUUUAAUCAUGGUAUACCCACUCAUUUCUGCCUUUUGCCUUAGGGGAAAAACAAAACAAAACCCUGCUCUAUUGGUACCGCCCAGUCUUUGUUCAUCUGUCCUUGAAAUCGAUUCACAAUGUGAAUAUGUAUAAGCUUCCUCAUGACCCACCUCAGUGUUCAAAACAUUUCCUUCCUGUUCUCUUGGUGUCCGACAUACUUACCUGCAUCCUUGGCUAGUAGAACUGACGUUCUGAGGAUUGCUGAUGAAGCUCAUCCUUCAGACUCUGCUUCAUAAACCUAUCUCUAUAUGGGACCGUUUAUUCUCCUGACUCUAAGCAUUCAUCAAGUGUUUCCCUCAAGGAGCUUUAAGGAAGCCACCAAAUUCCCUAAUGACAAGUUCUUUCUAUCUACUUUUCCUCUUUGCCAUUAUUCCAUACUGUGGAUCAAGGGGCAACAAUACCUACCCUAUCAACUCUGACAUUCCUAAAUCCCAAAGUAGUUUAAACUGUAUACUGUCCCUUUAAUUUCAAUCUUGUUAAACAGAGUAAUACUUCCUUCUCAUUUUGGCUCUGCUAAUUUUGUUGGAGACCACAUUAAACACAUAGUAACCUAUGUCCAACCCCCACACUUGCAAAUUUUACAUUGUUAAUUGUUUACUUUCACGAUCCUGAGCUUCAAUGAUUGCCAACACUGCCUUCCAUAUCGGUUGGGGUUGCUUUACCAUCACCCUCUAUAAGGUUUCUUCUUUUUCUGUUUUCCUAUUCAAUGAAGUAGUUACCAUGACAGGUAAAGUGUUGUUACCCCACUCGCUUGUCGUCUAGGAUUUAACUUCUAUUCCCUAAAAUGCUCCUACACUCAGCCAUGAUACUGAACAUACCACCAACUUGCCCCUGAGAUUUGCCAGUGCCCCCACUUUGGGAACUCUGCAUUCCACCUUCCCCUAUUCCAUGUUGGCCCUUUUACUGAUGCUAAGCCCUGCACAAAUUCAUAAGGUUAUCUCCCCUCCUACCUGCCUCCUGUCCCUUCUUUUACCAUAAACUUCCAUCAUCCAAUUUACAUCCCAAUAACUGCCUUAGAAUGGCUGCCAGACUCUCUCAUUCCAUGCAGUAUGCCAAUGUAAAUUUGCACAGUCUACACACAGUGUUGCCUUCCACUGUCAUCUUCCAGAAACUCCUUUUCAUCUUCAACAUCCAGUCCUGCGUGCCCUGCCACCUCCAAGUCAAUCCACAGCUCAGGAAUCUUUCCUGAACUCUGACCCCUUCCUGCCCUGCCCCCACUGAUGACACCACUGCCAGCUUCCAUGUCCUCACCCUGCUGUACUGACUCCAUCUGCUGUCUCAGUUCACCCCUAACCAUCCUAUAUCCUCAGUUCUGCCUCUGAGGAACAGUGGUUUCCUCUCUCUGUUGUGUCCUCUGGCCUUUCAUCGUCUCGCCAUGCCCUUUAUUGACACACGGUCCUCAAUGUUUCCAAGGUGACAACACCUCUACACCCUGUUUCUGUGGCCUCAUCUCACCUCUUCUUCAUUCCUCCCUUGCCUUACCCACACCAUGCUUUCUCCUCCAUGACCUGCGUCAAACACUUUGCCCCUUUUGGGCAAAAAGGAGGAUUCUCUAAGUUCACACCCACACUCUUGCGCUUGGCAUGCCUCCCUUGCUGCAACACAUUCCCUGAUCCUCUCAACAAGCUCACUUCUGUAAGCUGCUGGCCUCCAUAACCUGCUCCAACUCAUUCUUCUUGCCCACUGGGGAACACCUCUCCUCUGUCCUGCCCUCCCAUAUGCUGCAAACUCACCCUCUGCUCUCCCAGUUCCCAGCUCCUAGCUCCUGGGCCCAGGUUGGUCGUUUCUCCUGCUUUCCUCCUCUACUGCAUAGCACGGUACUGUCCCACCUGCACCAUCCUGCGUUCUCUCAGCACCACCUGUGAUUCUGCCACUGGCCUAACUCGUGUUCUCAGGUGUAUCCUCCCUUCUUGACCUGGCCCCGCACCCACUGCUCCACCAGAUGCAGUCCUCUCUGUGUCACACGUACUGCACUGAAUCCACACGCCCUGCUGUCCAAGCUCACGUCCCAGUGGCCCAGGCUGUGCGUCCUUUCCAGGGCCCCACAACCCUGACUCCCCUAAACCUUCAUGAUUCCUUUCACGUUCUUUCUUUCACACUGUGUAAAAACAGUGUGGGGAACAUCUGCCUCUGAAUCUCCUACCAUCUUCCUGUCACCAGAGUAGUUUUGUCUUUGUCACUCACUGGUGUCUCACUCUCUGCCCAUCCUCGUCCCCCCAAUACACACCCAGUCUCAACCUGACUCUCUUGCCCUGCCUGAAACCCGGCUCCUCUGCUCCUCCUGGGUGCUCCUGUGAGUCUCACCCUCCUCUUGCCUCCUCCCUCCUUAGCACCCAUGUCUCCAAGACGCUCUCCUUCCACACUGUCUCCAUUUCCCUUUGCACCUUCACUCCCGUGACAACAGAUCCCCUGCUCUCUGCUCUCACCCGCACAGCCCACAUCCUCUUUGUCACUAGGCCCUUCUCUAGGCCUCACUCCUCCACCUGAGUCCUCGAGUCUGGGACCGAGGCAUUGGAAACCCCAGCUCCACCACCAGGGUACCUGGUGCCUUUUCGGCUACAUCCAUUUGCUCGCCGUCAUCCUUGUCCUGGUCUGUCGGGAACUGUGUUGCCACACCUGACAGUCUUGAUCCUGAUGCCUCCAUCAGCCCCACUGCACAUGCGUCUUCCCCUCACACUCUACAUGUCUGCCCGGCUCUCCAUCCUCCCGUGUCCACCAGUGAUUCUCACCCGAGAAUGCAGGACCCCAAGGCGGCCUAUCAGAAGCAUCUUUUGGGCUUGGUUUCUUCUUUUGCUAUUAUCUGUGUUCCUUUAGAGAUUGCUUUUUUUUCCCUUACUUUUUCUGAGCUGAACACUGCUCACCCCUCGGAUGAUUGGAUAGCCCUGCCUGGGAUUCCAUGUCCAGAGACCUCCCUCCACGUGAAAUUCACCCCCUACGCCAGAUAAGAAUCACUGCUAUGGACGGCCACCUUGACUCCCUGACAUUACUCCCUCAUUUCACACCUAGACCAUUCUAGUGCUUGCCAUUUAACUCCCCACUCAACACAUCUCAUCUUUUGCCUCCCCACCCCCAUUAGGCCUGGAACUGUCUGCUUGGAACCACCUCAUUCCUUCCCUAUUUGCCCUUUAACACGCCUCUGACCCCAAACACCAGUCUGCAUUGGAAACUUGUUCUUUUAAUACCUCCCCACCCCAUACUUCUUGUCCUCCCACCUGAUAGGACUCUUAGGCACUGUGUCAGUAUCUUCGGCCUCAACCUGUUUCUUAUGGGUACUUACUAUUGUCGGUUUUCCUUAAUCCCCACUCCUUUUUUCAGAUCCCUUACAAGAUCGGCCUGCAGAAACUUCCCCCUUUGUUUCCCGAGUUCUCAGUUGUUUCCUAAAAACCAGCCAUUUACCUUGACCUUUCGACCUACAAGAAACCACUUUCAUUUACUUCUUUUGGUGGAUUUAGACGGCUUCCCCAGCCUGUAUUCAUCACCCGCAACAUUAGAUAUGUAACCCACCAGCUCAGUUAAAUAAGUACAUUUCCUCCAACCCAGAACUUGGCUCGAUUCUCCCCAUCUGGUUCCCUACCUCCUCUCCCACUCACACCCCACUGCUCCCAAUCCUUCCCUCCUUUCCAACCCAGUCAAUCCCAACCCAAAUCCCAUCCCAAACCCCAUCCCUUCCACCUAACCCACCCUUCCCCUCUGCAUCCAUAGCAAAGACCCUGGCCCAAGAGUCACACUUUUGCAACAAAGUUCAAGGCUUUAAGAGCAGCCAUUCCUUCCUGCCCAUUGCCGUCCACCCCUUUUACACUUUCCCUUCCCCAUGCUAAACCUUGCAGGCUGCUCUGAGCACUCCAAAUUCCUUUGUUCCUACUCUGGGACCUCCCCCUUCACCUCGCUCCACCUGUGGCUGUCCUGCCUGUGGAUGUCCUGCCCAGCUCCCUUCUACCACGCUUUCUGCCCUCCAUCCUUCCCUGGGGGCCCCUCCACCCUGUCUGUCUUCUGUAGGUGACUCCCCCAUUGCGCUGCCUCAUCGUCCCACUUCCACAUUCUUUCUUGAAGCCUUUCCCCUUGUGAUACAUUUCUUCUCUUUGCUUCCUUGGCCAAAGGAAGACAUUUGCCUCUCUGUGGCCCAUAUUUCUGUCAAUCACCCAGGGCCUGUCACUUCAUCAGACUCAGUCAUCUCUUCUCCAUAGGGAUGUGCUCACUACUUUGAUCUGCUUUCACUGCUCAAACUCUUCCAUCCUCUCUCUAUCCCACCUUCUCUUCAAGAACUGUUUUCUGUUGCUCCUCCAGAUCUUCCACUGAUUCAGGCCAGCGCCUUCCCUUAGGCUGCCUUUUCCUUCCCCUCUUCCACUCCAGCCUUGUUUCCUCUUUUCUCUUUCUGUUCCAUGAAGUGAGUUCCUACGAAACUCUACAGCCAGUCCCGCCACUUCCUCCUCUUCCUCCUUUCUUCGUCUCCAUUAUUUCCAUUUACCUUGGAUAGGGCCCCAGUGAGCCCAUGCACCCCUGCCCAUCACGCCUGAUCUUGCAGUACCCAUUGAAGCUAUCUGGAUCCACCAUUUCUUCUUUCCCUCUUGGCCACAUUACCUUUACUACACCCUUGUUUAGAAUUUAAGACCUUCUUCUUACACAGGUCCUGCCAUCCAUCCUGUUCUGCCUUUCCUCCUCUCUGCCCUCUGGAAAAAGUUUCCAAACAUGAAGCCCUGUAUCAGCACCCAAACCUUCAUCCUAUCCAACCUCUGGGCAUGCCCACUGCGUGCAUUUACUACUGACCUAAUCUCCCACUGAAUCUAAAAUGCUACCUGUGUUUGAAGGCCCCCGCUUCCUACUUCACUGCACCUCUGUAGUGAAGUGUGGUGUAGUGCAUAUUUUCAGUUGCAAGCUACACCUCCAUCCUCUCAGGCUCACUUGACAACAGAAGUUCAGACUCAGUGGUCACUGGGAAUUGUCUCCUCUCCAUUAGUUCCCUCUAACACUUGCAAGUAUCUGUCUGCCCACAUACUAGACUCAAAACACGAGUCCAUCCCCAGGCCCCCAGCCCCCAAGGUUUACCUGGCAGUACGUUCCAUGCAGUGCUGUCUGAAUGUGCAGUGAUGCCCCAUUUCCUCCAUUUACCCUGAGUGACUUAGGCACCUUCCCCCUACUUUCCUUUCCUAAGGAUCCACUUCUGAAAAGCCUGGGAUUUUGCCUCUCUACCGUAAUCCUACGGGUUGGCCUUGAUAAGAGGCAUGAUACCAACUUCCCUGAGAUCUGAUAAAACCCCAUUUGGGGAACUCUGAUUUCCUCCUUCCCCUUUUCUGCAUUGGACCCUGUAUGGACACUAAGCUCCCCACAAGUGCAUGAUGUUCUUUCCCCUCCUGCACCACAAAUCUUUCUUUUCCCAUCAACUUCCCUGACCCCACUCACAUCACACCACCUCCACGUGGCUGCUCUACUCCAAUGUCUCACUUUUUCCACACAAGGUUCACAUUUAAUUCCUGCACCACUGUUUCCUCCUACUUUCAUCUUCCAGACACGCUCUACCUCCUCUUCAACAUCCAGUCCUGCGUGCCCUGCCACCACCAGGUCAAUCCAGACUCAGGAAUCUUUCCUGAACUCUGACCCCUUCCUGCCCUGCCCCCACUGAUGACACCACUGCCAGCUUCCAUGUUGUACUGAGUCCAUCUGCUGUCUCAGUUCACCCCUAACCGUCCUAUAUCCUCAGUUCUGCUUCUAAGGAACAGUGGUUUCCUCUCUCUGUUGUGUCCUCUGUUCUUUCAUCGUCUCGCCAUGCCAUUUAUUGACACACGGUCCUCAAUGUUUCCAAGGUGACAACACCUCUACACCCUGUUUCUGUGGCCUCAUCUCACCUCUUCUUCAUUCCUCCCUUGCCUUACCCACACCAUGCUUUCUCCUCCAUGACCUGCGUCAAACACUUUGCCCCUUUUGGGCAAAAAGGAGGAUUCUCUAAGUUCACACCCACACUCUUGCGCUUGGCAUGCCUCCCUUGCUGCAACACAUUCCCUGAUCCUCUCAACAAGCUCACUUCUGUAAGCUGCUGGCCUCCAUAACCUGCUCCAACUCAUUCUUCUUGCCCACUGGGGAACACCUCUCCUCUGUCCUGCCCUCCCAUAUGCUGCAAACUCACCCUCUGCUCUCCCAGUUCCCAGCUCCUAGCUCCUGGGCCCAGGUUGGUCGUUUCUCCUGCUUUCCUCCUCUACUGCAUAGCACGGUACUGUCCCACCUGCACCCUCCUGCAUUCCUUCAGCACAAUCUGUGAUUCUCCCACUGGCCUAAUUCGUGAUCUCAGGUACCUCCUCCCUUCUUGACCUGGCCCCGCACCCGCUGCACCACCAGAUGCUGUCAUCUCUGCAUCACACGUACUGCACUGAAUCCACCUGCUCUGCCCAGCUAUCAGUGUCCACAUCCCAGUGGCCCAAGCUAUGGGUACCUUCCAGCACCCCACAACCCUGACUCCCCAAAACCUUCUCAAUUCCCUUUGCAUCCUUUCUUUCACAUUCUUGUGAAAACACUCUGGGGAACAUGUACCUCUGAAUUUCCUACCUUCCUGUCACCACAGCAGUUUUGUCAUCAGCACUCACUCCUGUCCCACCUCCACCUGCCCACCCUCAUCCCCCUGCCCUGCCAGCACAAAUGCACCCAGUCUCAACCUGACUCUCCUGCCCUGCCUGAGACCCGGCUCCUCUGCUCCUCCUGGGUGCUCCUGUCAGUCCCACCCUCCUCCUGCCUCCUCCCUCCUUAGCGCCCAUGUCUUCAAGAUGCUUUCUUUCCAUGCCGUCUCCAUUCCCCUUUGCACCUUCCCUCCCUGUGACAACAGAUCCCCUGCUCUCUGCUCUCACCCGCAUAGCCCACUUCCUCUGAGUCACUGGGCCCUUCUCUGGGCCUCACUCCUCCACCUGAGUCCUCGAGUCUGGGACUGAGGCGUUGGAAACCCCAGCUCCACCACUGUGGUCCCGGUGCCUUUUCAGCUGCAUCCAUUUGCUCGCUGUCAUCCUUGUCUUGGUCUGUCGGGAACUGUGUUCCCACACCUGACAGUCUUGACCCUGAUGCCUCCAUGAGCCCCGCCACACAUGCAUCUUCCCCUUUCACUCCACAUGUCUGCCCGGCUCUCCACCCUCCCGCGUCCACCAGUGAUUCUCACCCGAGGAUGCAGGACCCCAAGGCGGCCUAUCAGAAGCAUCUUUUGGGCUCGGUUUCUUCUUUUGCUAUUGUCUAUGUUCCUUUUAGAGAUUGCUUUUUUUUCCCCUUACUUUUUCUGAGCUGAACACUGCUCACCCUUCAGAUGAUUGGAUAGGCCUGCCUGGGGGUCCAUGCCCCCAGCCCUCCCUCAGGUGAAACCCACCCCCCACCUCAGAUAAGAAUCACUGAUGUGGAUGGCCACCUGGACUCCCUGCACUUCAGUCUCCCAUUUUAGGCCUGGAGCCUUCUUUUUUUUUUUUUUUUUUUUUUUUUUUUGAGACAGAGUUUCACUCUGUCGCCCAAGGCUGGAGUGCAGUGGUGCAAUCUCGGCUCACUGCAGCCUCACCUCUGGAGUUCAAGCGAUUCUCCUACCUCAGCCUCCCGAGUAGCUGGGAUUACAGGCAUCCACCACCACGCCCAGCUAAUUUUUUGCUUUUUAAGUAGAGACAGGGUUUUGCCAUGUUGGCCAGGCUGGUCUCGAACUCCUGACCUCAAGCGAUCCACCCACCUCGGCCUCCCAAGCCUGGAGCCUUCUUGUGCUUGCAUUUACUGUUGAAGAUCAUUCUUUUGAAAGGCCAGAAUGCCCCUUUCUACCUGUUUUUGUUUGUUCGUUUUUUUACUACUUCUUUCAUGUGCUUUUUAUACUUCUUACUUAGCAUUUUUCGUGUUUUUCGCAUUCUAACUAACCUGGUAGUCUUCCCAUGGAAGACUUUUGCACAUUUCCUUUUCUUCCUCUGGCAUCCUUCCACCCCAUUCUUCCCACCCCUUGUUUCUCUACUCCACACUCACCCUCCGACUCUUGAAAAGGAUUUCUCUUAAAGAUCUACAUUGAAACUUUGACCCUUCAGUACAUAAAGCAACCUAUACUCUAAACCUCCUUCAUAUUGGCCUGAUAGCUUCCACACCCGUACAAUAUUUUCUGUUCUUAUUUUAAUAUUUUCUAUCCUUGAAGUUUACAUACUGUGACACAGGUGGCAAGAUUCCACCUUUAGGACUGCCUCCAGUUACUCCCCACUCCUCUUAUCCCCAUCAUGCAUUCUUUUUACUGUACUAUAGUAUUUUCAUUAUCUUCAUUCGUACUGUUAAUCCAUGCAUCUUUCCUAUCUUUUCAUUAUUAUUCAGGAUGUUUUCAUCUCAUUUUUGGAUUUUCUUAAAGACUCUUAGUCCUACCUGGAAGCUCAUUUGGCAAUCCAUUCUGCACCUCUUUUUCUCUUCUUUGACACUUUUAAGCCCCUGUGCCACCUAUAAUCUGUUUACCACUGUCUUUCUGGUGCAGUGAGCAGCCCUUUCUAGAUGUGGAUGUGCACCCUUCAAUUCCAUCUCCUGGUGCCCUAUCCCCUGUCUCAGCUCAGUUCCUCUUUACUCAUUUCUGAACUUCUUUCCUCCUUUUUGGAAUCAGAUUUAAGUAUACUAUUCAAUCUGCGGUGCCUCUCCACCUUUUUUGUUUUUUGCCUUUUUCUAAUAUUCUACUCUGAUGCAUAUAGUUGUCUUCUGACUUGCUUCUUUUCUACCUCACCCUUUUUCCCUUCCGUAUCUUUGGCCCAUCUUUAAUCAUAUAACUCUUUUCUUAAUUUAUGCUCUUGUUCUUCUGACCUCAUUGUUUCUGGGUUUCCUUAUUGUGAAGCUGAUUUGCCCUGUGUUUACUUAAGUUACUCUGAAAUGUUGCCAAAUCCGUGCAGUGCUCUUUUUAUUUAGUGUCCACCACUUGUUUUCUUCCUUAUUCCAUACGAUACGAUUAUAGUGGCAAAUCUUAUUUUUUAGUAUGUCAUCCUCGCAUGACUUUUCCCAUCCUAAGGUAAAUUUUAAAUGCCUUUUCCCUUUAUUUUGUUGUUUUUCUUUUUCUGCCUUGGAAGAGCACAUUGUUAACCACCCAUACACUGUCACUCCUGUGCCUUCACUAAGAUCUUGCUUUCAGGCACCUCCUUCUGUUCACCAUUCAUUGCUCAGUCCCUUUCGGUAUUUCUUCUUUCCAGCAUACUGUGCUGAACUGCUUUAGUUCUCUGUUUGUUCCUUGGUAGGAUCCCUGCCACUUGCCUUGUUUUAUGUCCACUUCACUGAAUGUGUCGCUAAUCUUUCUGUCAAUUGCACUUUUUAACCCAAAUGUACUUUUCUGGACACUGUCUCUUUUAUGUCCAAUUUUAGUUAUCAUUUUAUCUUGUCCCUUUCUUUCUCCCUUUAAGAACUGCCUACACAGUCUUCUUCCUGACUCAACUUUUCAAGUACAAGCAAUUUUCAUUAUCCUGUGUGCUUGAAUAAUAAUUUUUGGUAGCAAACACUUAUAUUGCAUUAUCUUAAAUUUGAAAAAGCUCUUAUCCAUCUCCCUUUAAAAAAA